AUUGAACGCUGGCGGCACGCCUUACACAUGCCAGUCGAACGGUAACACCUUAAUCUGCCGAUUGGCGACCGGGUGAGUAAUGUAUCGGAACGUGCCCAGACGUGGGGGAUAACUGCCCGAAUGAGCAGCUAAUACCGCAUACGACCUGAGAUUGCAAGCGGGGGAUCGCAAGACCUCGCGCGGUUGGAGCCGCCGUUCUCAGGUUAGGUGGUUGGCGGGGUAACGGCCCACCAAGCCGACGAUCGGUAGCCGGCCUGAGCGGAGGACGAGCCACACUGGGACUGAGACACGGCCCAGACUCAUACGGGAGGCGGCAGUAGGGAAGGUUGGACAAUGGGCGCGAGCCUAAUCCAGACAUGCCGCGUGCGGGAAGAAGGCGUUCGGGUUGUAGACCGCUUUUGUCAGGGAAGAAGAGGUUCUGGCUAAGACCUGGGGGUCAUGACGGUACCUGAAGAAUAAGCACCGGCUAACUACGUG
rnacentral:rRNA from 1 species